GACGAACGCUGGCGGCGUGCUUAACACAUGCAAGUCGAACGGAAAGGCCCUGCUUGCAGGGUACUCGAGUGGCGAACGGGUGAGUAACACGUGGGUGAUCUGCCCUGCACUUCGGGAUAAGCCUGGGAAACUGGGUCUAAUACCGGAUAGGAGCCAUUUUUAGUGUGAUGGUUGGAAAGUUUUUUUCGGUGUAGGAUGAGCUCGCGGCCUAUCAGCUUGUUGGUGGGGUAAUGGCCUACCAAGGCGGCGACGGGUAGCCGGCCUGAGAGGGUGGACGGCCACAUUGGGACUGAGAUACGGCCCAGACGCCUACGGGAGGCAGCAGGGGGGAAUAUUGCACAAUGGGCGCAAGCCUGAUGCAGCGACGCCGCGUGGGGGAUGACGGCCUUCGGGUUGUAAACUCCUUUCGCUAGGGACGAAGCUUUUUGUGACGGUACCUAGAUAAGAAGCACCGGCUAACUACGUG
rnacentral:rRNA from 1 species